rnacentral:rRNA from 1 species
CCUACGGGGGGCAGCAGUCGGGAAUAUUGGGCAAUGGAGGAAACUCUGACCCAGCAAUACCGCGUGAAGGAUGAAUGUUUUCUGAUUGUAAACCUUUGUUAUUAAGGAAGUAAAAAAUGACGGUACUUUAUAAUUAUGUCUCGCCUAACUAUGUGCCAGCAGCCGCUGCGAUACAUAGGGGGCAAGCGUUCUCCGGAAUGACUGGGUGUAAAGGGUGUGUAGGUGGCGUAUUAAGUUAGUGGUGAAAGCCCGAAGCUCAACUACGGAACUGCCUUUAAAACUGGUUGGCUUGAGUGUAGGAGAGGUGAGUGGAACUCCUAGUGUAGCGGUGGAAUGCGUAGAUAUUAGGAAGAACAUCAGAGGCGAAGGCGGCUAACUGGAACGUAACUGACACUGAAACACGAAAGCGUGGGGAGCAAACAGGAUUAGAUACCCGUGUAGUC